UUGUGGUAUAGUCUGAAGUCCGGGAGCCUGAUUCCUCCAGCUCCAUUUUUCUUUUUCAGGAUGUCUUUGGCUAUUCUGGGUCUUUUGUGUUUCCAAACAAACUUUAAAAUAUUUUGUUUGAGUUCUGUGAAAAAUGUCCUUGGUACUUUGAUAGGGAUUGCAUUGACUCUGUAGACUGCCUUGGGUAGUGUAGUCAUUUUGAUAAUAUUGACUCUUCCCAUCCAAGAGCAUGGGAUGUCUUUCCAUCUAUUUGUGAAUUCUGUCAGCUUUUCACCGUUUGAGAAUGAUGUUUGCUGUGGGUUUGUCACAUGUGGCCUUUCUGAUGUUGAGGUGGGUUCCCGUCAUGCCCACUCUCUGAAGGGUUUUUAUCAGAAAUGGGUGUUGGGUUUUGUCAAAGGCUUUUUCCGCGUCUAUGGAGAGGAUCACGUGGUUUUUAUUCUUCCGCUUGUUAAUGUGGUGUAUCACACUGAUGGAUUUGUGGAUAUUGAAGACCCCUUGCAUCCCUGGGAUAAAUCGCACUUGAUCAUGAUGUACAAUCCUUUUAAUGUCGUGUUGGAUGCGGUUUGCUAGUAUUUUGUUGAGAUUUUUUGCAUCUGUGUUCAUCAGUGAAACUGGCCUGUGGUUUUCUUUUUUUUGGUGUAUCUUUGUCUGGUUUUGGUGUCGGGUGAUGGUGGCCUCAUAGAAUGAGUUUGGGAGAAAUAAGUUAUACAAUUCAGAGGACCAACUGAAUAGCAGAAUGGGCUCAAGCAUAUAACCUACAGGUACAGGUGUGUUUGAGGAGAAAACGGCGACAGGAUGAGAAGGUUUCCACUUCCAUUACGGUGAAAUGGGUAAAUCUGACCCGUCCCCCCGAAAACACCUGAGAGGCAGCACAUUACAGAUCUUCUGGAAAACAUGUAAGGAUUGACAAGCUCAUGUGUACAUGGCUGCGAGGCUGUGACCGGGGGGUGGGGGUUGCAUUAACCUAGAGAGGAGGCUGCAGAGGAGAGGGGCGGCCGGAAGCCCAGCCCUUGAAGCCGCAAGAAGACAGGACACACUCAUCCAGAAUGUCGCUCAAACACGCUUCCUGUGGCAGGUCUUUCCUCCAAGGAAUCUGUGCAACAGCAACCCCAGGUGUGCCCUCGGGACACUGUGGGCUCAGCCUUCCCUCCCUCUUGACCCCGCUGGGACCCGAGGCUGGGGGUCACACUGCCAUGGUGACGGGUAGCUGGCUGUGGGAGGGGGCAGGGCUCCGUGACGCCCUUUCUCGGGCCGGACAGUGCUGGGUGAGCUCGAGGCCGGGCCAGCAGGAGCCCCUGGGCGGAGGGACAGGGCGCGCUGAGCACGCCAGCCAAACAGCAGCUCCCCAAGCCGCAGGUGUGCUUUGGAGACUUCACGGUCUUUCAAAGGUGGACCACAUCGCUGGGCCUCUGGACUAUUCUCUGGGCCAAGGGUAGACACCUCAGGCCGAGAGGUUCAAACUGGAGGCAGCUGAGAAGGGUCACACUACACCCAAGAGGUUUUCUGGGAAAGCGAACUCUAC
rnacentral:lncRNA from 1 species